GCGCUUGCUUCAGCAGCACGUAUACUAAAAUUGGAAUGAUACAGAGAAGUUUAGCAUGGCCCCUGUGCAAGGAGGUCAUGCAAACUCAUGAAGUGUUCCAUAUUUUU